GACGAACGCUGGCGGCGUGCUUAACACAUGCAAGUCGAACGAAGUGGCGAACGGGUGAGAAACGCGUAAUCAACCUGCCAUUCAGAGGGGGACAACAGUUGGAAACGACUGCUAAUACCGCAUACUGAAGGAGGGGAUUGCGUCUGAUUAGCUAGUUGGAGGGGUAAAGGCCCACCAAGGCGAUGAUCAGUAGGCGGUCUGAGAGGAUGGACGUCCCCAUCGGGACUGCGACACGGCCCAGACUCCUACUGGAGGCAGCAGUGGGGAAUCUUCCGCAAUGGACGAAAGUCUGACGGAUCAACGCCGCGUUAGUGAUGACGGCCUUCGGGUUGUAAAACUCUGUUAAUCGGGACGCGGUACCGGAAUAGAAAGCCACGGCUAACUCCGUGCCAGCAGCCGCGGUAAUAC
rnacentral:rRNA from 1 species